rnacentral:rRNA from 1 species
CGGGGGGAGCAAGCGUUGUUCGGAUUUACUGGGCGUAAAGGGCGCGUAGGCGGCCACGACAAGUCAGUUGUGAAAUCUCUGGGCUUAACUCAGAACGGUCAACUGAUACUGUCGGGCUAGAGUGCAGAAGGGGCAACUGGAAUUCUCGGUGUAGCGGUGAAAUGCGUAGAUAUCGAGAGGAACACCUGCGGCGAAGGCGGGUUGCUGGGCUGACACUGACGCUGAGGCGCGAAAGCUAGGGGAGCGAACGGGAUUAGAUACCCCGGUAGUCCUAGCCUUAAACGAUGAAUGCUUGGUGUCUCGGGUUAUACAGUCCCGAGGUGCCGUCGCUAACGCAUUAAGCAUUCCGCCUGGGGAGUACGGUCGCAAGACUG